rnacentral:rRNA from 1 species
AAUCAACGCUGGCGGCGUGCCUAACACAUGCAAGUCGAACGAGAAAGUGACUUCGGUCACUGGAUAGUGGCGUCCGGGUGAGUAACACGUAGGUAAUCUACCUUCGGGUGGGGAAUAACUCGCCGAAAGGCGAGCUAAUACCGCAUAAUGCAGCGGCACCUAAUGGUGAUUAGUUGUUAAAGCGGGGGAUCUUCGGACCUCGCGCCUGAAGAGGAGCCUGCGGCAGAUAGCUAGUUGGUUGAGGUAAUGGCUCGCCAAGGCUUCGAUCUGUAGCUGGUCUGAGAGGACGGGCCAGCCACACUGGCACUGACACACGGGCCAGACUCCUACGGGAGGCAGCAGUGGGGAAUUUUGGGCAAUGGGCGAAAGCCUGACCCAGCAACGCCGCGUGAAGGAGGAAAUCCUUC